rnacentral:piRNA from 1 species
UUGGUGAAAGUGUUGCAGAAAUCAAGC